CUUGUGAUGAAGAGUGGUAAAUACACUCUUGGUUACAAGUCUGUUCUGAAAUCCCUCCGUGGCUCCAAAGGGAAACUGAUUCUAAUCUCCGCAAAUUGCCCACCUUU